UUGACAUCGGGAAGAUUUCCAAAAAGAUGGAUUUAUUUUGAACUUAUCCUGAAUGAAGACUCCGGGCGCUUAAGACUGCUCCCUUUCUACUGCACCAACACGUCUAUCUGCCCUCAGUGUCUGGGCUGGUCUGAGGUUGGUCAUGUGAUCAGGGUUUACCAGAAGAGAGUCUUUCGUAGGGAUGUCAUCAAGAAGCUCCUCCCGGACCACUUCCAUGCACUCCUGCAUCGCCUCGACAAAACCCUACACGACUGUGUAAGCCCGCAUGCACGCACACACACACUCGCGCACACACACACACACACACACACACACACACACACACACACACACACACACACACACACACACACACACACACACACACAAACACACACACACACACACACACGCACACGGCCGCACGCACACAUGACCGCACGCAGCAUUCAAAUUCUAGUGUACCCUCUGCCUGCGUCUGAUUGGCUUUCCUGUUACCUGAAUUCAGGCUCAGUGUCCGAAACGCUCCAAAGAAGUCCUUCAGUUUGAGAAGAAAAUCAAGAGGUUCCUGAGGAAGAGGAGGGAGGAAGGUGUGUUCAAGGCGGUGAGAGAGUUCCCCUUCGUCCUCCGAUGGGUCGAUGAGUUGAGGGAAACUCUUCAUCAUUGUUCCUGAUGAGGGGGACUCCAGAGUCCCUGAUGAUGAAUCAUUCAAUCUAUUUAUUUUAUUAGGUUUUAAAAAGCAGUAUUCAAUAUUUUUUUAUUUAUUUUAUUUAAUUGUCAAUGAAUAAAUUAUUAUUUUUAUCGGUUCUGUAUUUAAAAGUUUUGAUACAAUACAAUUUUAUAUGAAAUACAUGCUGUUGUCUCCUUCUUCUGGCAGAACUUUGCCACUACAAGUUAUACUACAGUUUUUGCCCGUUGCUUGAACCCGUUUUGCAAAACUUUGAAACUCAACACACAAGCAAAUAAGACACAACACUUAGAAAUAUACCAUUCACAUCUGCGUCAAAUUGAAACUCUGC
rnacentral:lncRNA from 1 species